rnacentral:rRNA from 1 species
AACAAACGCUGGCGGCGUGCCUAAUACAUGCAAGUCGAACGGGGAAAGUAGCAAUACGAGUACUAGUGGCGCACGGGUGAGUAACACGUGGGUAAUCUGCCUUGGAGUGGGGGAUAACUAGUCGAAAGAUUAGCUAAUACCGCAUAAGACCACAAGAUCUGCGGAUCUAGAGGUCAAAGGUUUUUCGCUCUAAGAUGAGCCCGCGUAAGAUUAGCUAGUUGGUGAGGUAAUGGCUCACCAAGGCGACGAUCUUUAACUGGUCUGAGAGGAUGAUCAGUCACACUGGAACUGAGACACGGUCCAGACUCCUACGGGAGGCAGCAGUAGGGAAUAUUGCGCAAUGGGGGAAACCCUGACGCAGCGACGCCGCGUGAGUGAUGAAGGACUUCGGUUCGUAAAGCUCUGUUGCAAGGGAAAAAGAAAGUGAUUGUACCUUGUGAGGAAGGGUCGGCUAACUUCGUGCCAGCAGCCGCGGUAA